AGUGAACUUCGUUUAAAGCGAAAAUCCUUAUAAGCCGGGGUUCGGCUUAUAAGAUUGUAGCGGAAAGCGGGAUAAUAU
rfam:Flavobacterium sp. A45 NODE_2_length_182483_cov_13.2111_ID_3, whole genome shotgun sequence.